rnacentral:rRNA from 1 species
AUUGAACGCUGGCGGCAGGCCUAACACAUGCAAGUCGAGCGGAAACGAGAAUAGCUUGCUAUUCGGCGUCGAGCGGCGGACGGGUGAGUAAUGCCUGGGAAUAUGCCCUGAUGUGGGGGAUAACUAUUGGAAACGAUAGCUAAUACCGCAUAAUCUCUUCGGAGUAAAGAGGGGGACCUUCGGGCCUCUCGCGUCAGGAUUAGCCCAGGUGGGAUUAGCUUGUUGGUGGGGUAAAGGCUCACCAAGGCAACGAUCCCUAGCUGGUCUGAGAGGAUGAUCAGCCACACUGGAACUGAGACACGGUCCAGACUCCUACGGGAGGCAGCAGUGGGGAAUAUUGCACAAUGGGCGAAAGCCUGAUGCAGCCAUGCCGCGUGUAUGAAGAAGGCCUUCGGGUUGUAAAGUACUUUCAGUUGUGAGGAAGGGGGUAACGUUAAUAGCGUUACCUCUUGACGUUAGCAACAGAAGAAGCACCGGCUAACUCCGUGCCAGCAGCCGCGGUAAUACGGAGGGUGCGAGCGUUAAUCGGAAUUACUGGGCGUAAAGCGCAUGCAGGUGGUUCAUUAAGUCAGAUGUGAAAGCCCGGGGCUCAACCUCGGAACUGCAUUUGAAACUGGUGAACUAGAGUGCUGUAGAGGGGGGUAGAAUUUCA